GCUCCGGUAGCCUAGUGGUUAGAGUGUCCGUCUCGGAUGCGUGAAGUCGCGGGUUCGAACCCCAGCCGAGUCA